UGAUUAUACAGAUAUACUUACAAGCUAGGGCAUAAAUUGUUCAAUGGUACAUAUGUUUGGAGUCAACAAUAUCAGUUUGGAGCAUCUCCUUAUCCUGGUCAAAACUCUCUACAAAGUGUAGUUAUUUUUGGUGACAUGGGGAAGGAUGAAGCUGAUGGUUCCAACGAAUAUAACAAUUUCCAGCAUGGCUCUCUUAACACUACUCGAGAGCUUUUUAGAGACUUAAAGAACAUUGAUAUAGUUUUCCACAUUGGAGAUAUUUGUUAUGCAAAUGGAUACAUUUUACAGUGGGACCAAUUUACAGCAUAGGUUGAGCCAAUUGCAUUAACCGUGCCAUACAUGAUUGCAAGGUUUCAUCUUAAUAUAUCACUCAUAAUAUUUGAGCUUAUACUUGUCUUGUACCUUGUCUUAUGUGCCACUUGGUGAACAAUCCUCACAGUGGUAACCAUGAGCGUGACUGGCCAAGGAUUGGAUCAUUCUAUGGGAAUAUGGACUCUGGGGGGGGGAAUGUGGUGUGUUGGUGGAGACUAUGUUUUAUGUCCCUGCUGAGAACAGAGCCAAUUUCUGGUACUCCACCGAUUAUGGCAUGUUCCACUUUUGCAUAGCUGACACUGAACAUGACUGGAGGGAAGGAAUUGAGCAAUACAAGUUCAUUGAGAAUUGCUUGGCAUCAGUCGAUAGGCAAAAGCAACCAUGGCUAAUUUUUUUUGCACAUCAAGUACUUGAUUAUUCAUCUAGUAUCAGUUAUGCAGUUGAAGGAUCAUUCAAGGAACCAAUGGGGAGGGAGAGCCUGCAAAACUAUCAAAAUUGGUGAUUUUCUUGGAACUGAAGAAGAAGUACUUGUGGUGAGGACUUUUGCUUCAGAAUACAGCUGUCUUAGAAAGGAUGGUUAUAUCUUGGUCUAAAGAAUCUCAAGGCAAGGUCAAAAGGAAAAGGCAGUUAAUGAUCAUCUACUAACACUUCCGAAAGGGUCACUGAAUGAUCACUGGGUAUCAGUGACUUCUGGAAGUGAGGAGUAUUGUCUUAAACAUAUGCGUAGAAAUCAGUAUGAAGAAAGUCUAUUUAGAUGUGAAGAUGAUAGGUAAAAGACUUGAUAGAAGCCUUCAUCAGUUGUGAAUUUUCU